GUUCACUAUAAGAUACUUUUUUGAAAAAGGUGCGAAAUUAGACGAGCUAAUCUAGGAUUUGAAUUUGUCAGUAUUGAUUUCUGUGGUAAAAGAAGUUAAAAAUUCUAGGUUGGGAGUGAUAGGCUUUCCAAGUUUAAUGAUAUCUCAUUAAUUAAUUAAUAUAUUUAGUAUAUAACUCACAUAGGAAGUGUUUAGGUUUCUUAUAAGUAUUAAUUUAAAGGAUUUAGGCACUACGAUUUAAUUGCCGUGGUAUAAUCACUCUAAAAUUGUGUAUUAUUUUUUAUAUUGUUGGUUAAUUUUUCCAGCAAACGUGUUUGGUUAGAGAAUGUAAGCAUAAGUAAGAUCCAAAAUAGUUUAAAAGGAACUCGGCAAAUUUUUUUUUCAACUGUUUAUCAAAAACGUAACUCUAUGUGUUCAUAUAGGGCGAGUUCUGCUCAAUGAUUUUAAAUAGCCGCAGUACUCUGACUGUGCAAAGGUAGCAUAAUAAGUUGGCUUAUAAUUGAAGUCUGGAAUCAAGGAAUCUUUGGAAAAACGCUGUCUUUUUUAUUCGUGUGAAAUUGUUUAUUAAGUGCAAAUUCUUAAUUAAAUACAAUAGACGAGAAGACCCUAGAAAUUUUUAAAAACCGAAAGAAUCGUUACUUUUUUGUUGGGGCAACAGAGCUACACGCAAAAUUAGCAUUAAGUACGCGAAGAAUACAGAUAGAAGAUAAUUACUCUAGGGAUAACAGCAUAAUUAUAGUUUAGUUUGUGACCUCGAUGUUGGACUAGGACCCUUAAUAUUCAAAAGAUUACAAGGUUGGCUCUGUUCGAGCUUUUUAUUCCUACAUGAUCUGAGUUCAGACCGG
rnacentral:rRNA from 1 species